AUUUCUCUUACAAAUUUGGGAGAUACAUCUCAAUUUAAAGAAGUGAAGAAGACCAGCUGCACAUCACUAAUAUGCAAUUUUAUUUUUUCAUCAAAUCUGUUUUUAUACAAGGUAGUUCUUUAGGCCAUGGUUAUGUGAGAUAUUUUUUGGCAUCAGUCUUGAUUUAUUUGAUUCUGUCUCCUGCAUCACCUCCACCACUAUGCUGCUACAACUGGUUUGCAUGACCCCUGUGGCAAACCACAUCAAGGAACUGAUCUGGGUGAGAAAUAAAAGGUUGUUAUAUUUUUUUCUGGAUUAUUUUUCAACCAGAUUAGCUAGUGUCCUCAUUUACCACGGUGCUACAAAAACGUUUUUGCUAACAUAGGAGGGGACAGACUGGAGUUGAAGUAGAGGUAUAAAGGAAAUGUAGAGAGAAGAUAAUUAGAGGUGGUUUAAAUAGCAGUGUCACAGUAUGUAUAAUAUUACAGUCUCAGUGUAUUGAUUCAGAACAUACUUCUUUACCCCAAACUGAAGACGAAGUCCUGUUUCUUAGCAACUCUCCACACAUGAAUGUAUUUUUCUAACUUUUCUUUAAAGUGGCACUGCCUAGGCCCCCCAGAUGAGAUUUGGGGAGCUAUCUGCUACUUAGUCUGCAACCUAAGCUCGAAGUAGAUCCAUAAUUAAACAGAGUAUUUAGAAAACAAUUUUGCAGAUACUCUGAGGUGGGAUGGCAAUGUUAAGAUGGUUUCAUCGCUGUUCAACUGACACAGCACAGCAGCUUCUACCCUUUUGGCUAAUUUUCAUUUGGAAGUUGAUAUUUAUGUCAAUGAGGAUCUCUGAAUGAAAAGUAAAAUGUACAAUUUAUGUCACUAAAGUUUCCCUGACCAUACACAUAGCUUACAGAGGCUUAAAUCAGUCCUCAGAGCAAUUUCCUCUCUUACAGCGGGUAUUAUGGGCUCGUGUCUGACCGCAGUGCACUGCAUCCUGCCCCUGCCAGUGCUGGCCAAGGAGGCAGGACAGCUCUCCAGUGUCUCUCUCACUGCAGCUCCCGUUCCCUGCCCAGCGCUCAGCUCCAUGCACUUGCUGCUGAUGGGUCUGGCUGUGUUUCUCUUGGUUAUCCUCCCUUCCUCAGGUGAACUGGUUUCCAUUUCAUGACUUCAUGUGGGAGAUUUGGCAUCUGAAAUUCAUGUCACUGCAGUCCCCUCUGACCAUGGAGGAUGGUACAGGGUGCCUAGUUCAACCUCUUUCAGCAUUGCCACAAGCUACCUUAGACAAUUUUUUUUUUUUUUUAGCAUGCUGUCUGUUGUUUCUAUUGUUCUGUGGUGGAAAACUCUUCCCCAGUCCUGAGGGUCUGAAGAAUUUAGGCCUCUCACUUGGCACUAUGAAUAUAAUGGAGAUGGAAAUCACUAGUGUAGCAGUGCCAAGGAUGAGCAUCUCAUUCCUUAUGUGGAUAUAGCUUUCCAAAAUGGUUUUUAGAGUUGGAAAUAAAAAAGGCUCCUAGAGAGGCUCCUGAGUCAGGGAAAAAACUUGAGAUCAUACUGGACAGAGCAACUCUUUGAUUUUGUGUUACACAUGAAUAGUCUGCACAAGCAAAAAUUGGUACAGCAUGACACCAGUCCUUCCUAAGCUGAGGAGAGAGCUGGCAGUCUAAUAGAUCGGAAUCUUUAUCCUAUUACUUCCUCAUGGAACUGAAAAAUCCUCUAAUAUAAUUUUAACCAGAAUUAUCUUUCUCCAUAUAGCAAAAUUCUAACUCUUUGUUUUGUUAGCUUUGUAUAUAGUUGUGUAACAAGUACUUUUAAGCAGGGUCCUUCAAUAUUACCAACGGGUUUCUUAUACCACUUAAAAUGGGGAAUGUUUUCCCAUCCUACAUAGCCUUUGGUUUCCACUCUUUUCAAUAUGAUCUUUGCUUUGUUCCUUUUCUGUGCUGGGAGACGAUAAUGAGGUUCACACACCUUCUGCUCUGGUGCUUGGAAAUCUACCCUGGGUUUAGCUCAGCUGCAGCGAGCUGAGAGGGUUUCCCUUGCAUGCCGCCAAUUUUCAGUGCGCUCAUAUGUGGCUGGCGCGGUAGGGGGCUAAUCCCAACAGCAAACAUUAUACUCUUUCCGUACACACUUACACUUUGGAAUCAAGGGUAAAAAGUUCUCUUUGAAGCCCCUUUUCUCUGAAUGGUCUGGCAAGCUAACGUGGACUUCCCAGUCUCUGGCCAGAAUUCAAAUGUAUCGUGGUGCAGCUCAGUGACUGUAGCAAUUGUCCCAGGCCCUCCCAGCACACCAGUCUUCCUGUGGCACGGGAUCAGACGGACGUGCUUCUUUCUUAAGAAGCAGGAAGCUGUUUAUUCAAGCACAGCUGCAGCCAACAUUCUUGAGCAAAGUUUACCCACAGUGAAUUUGCCUGUUUUUAUCAGUUCGCUAUCUCCAAUGCCUUACGUUGCAGCACACACCAUUGUGGAAACUGAAAACAAGUGAUAUAACAAAACUAUUUCUGAUCACUGGACAUAGGUUGAGCUGGCAAGUCUGACCAGUAGAAUAAUGUUCAAAAGCUCAUGCUCUUUUCCAUUUCAAUAACAAUAGAGACACAUUCUGUGCUCAAUCUGGAAACAAAUGUUGCCCAUAUUUGGAUCUCAGUGGGAGCUGUGCAUGUGGAAUUUGGCCCAAAGAGUCGUUUUUCAAGAUGCUGUUUCCCCUUGCCCUGCUCCAAAUAUUGGUUCUUGCUAUUUGUAGGCUGCAGCAGAGGUUAUGUUGAAGUAAGUAUCUGCCUGAAAACAGAUGUUUGAUGCAGACAUGCCACGUGGAUGUAAAUAUGGAAUAAUUCUACAGAUUUCCUGGAGGUUACUUAGAUCUGGACUGGCACAAGUAAGAACUGCAUUGGGUCUGUUGUGCAUCAUGCUGCCUGGGUGUUUGUAUACCAACUCCUUUUUACCUGUUCCUUGAAUUUUCAUAGGCAAAUCUUCCUUCUAGCUGUGAUUCCAAAGAAGAGAAACAAUAUUUGCAACAUUAUAUACUUGCAACAGUUUCCUAUAUUAGUUUGAUUAUUUUGUAAUGUCACCAAUUCUUCAGAUUAAGUGUACUGUAGGAAAUUAGAUGAUGCUUUACACACUUAGUUUCAACCCUUUGAAACCCGGAAAGUAAAAACAAUCACAUGCAGGCAUCUGGGGAGGAACUUCCUUUCUUCCUCACAUACAGGAAGAAAGAAUCUUCCAAUGGGACUAAAUCAGAAGGGGACCUAAACUUCUUCAGUGUGCAUGUUUUUUUUUUAGCUAUGAAUGUUACAUAUUUAGGUUUCCUUGAUACUCUCAGAUAAAUGCAUAGUGGAGACUAAACUUCCUAUAAAGAGCAGUGGUGGAUGGCUAGGACAUAGUCCUGUAAACUGGGAAUCAAAGGGAUGAUUCCUCUCAAUCAAAAGAAUGACUUACGUGUGUGGCUUCCACUUCCUCUAGGCAGGCAGGAUCCUUGGACAAGAAGCAGUCUCCCUUUGCAGGAGGACAAAGGAGAGAGGGAGCUUUGUGAUUUACCUCUGAACUUUUCUUUCCAGGCAGAUCUGCUUUAUGAAUUUGACCCAAAUUUUUGAAUUGGAAUGAACCAGACUUCAUUCAGAGAGCCACAAGAGGACACCAAGGAUAACAGCUCCAGUUAGGCAAGCUUAAAAGUGUUUGCUUCACUUUCCCACAUGGCCUACAUCUCCUGGACUUCACAGAGAUUCUGCUUUACAUUAUUGCAGGUAGGAAGAGUAUGGGCCCACAUGUUUCUCUUCUUCUUCUGUUACUCUCUUCUCAUGUUUUUCCAUACAUGAAGCUCUUUAUGGCUACUUGCUCAUAGUGCAAUACUCUCUAGAGCUACUGCAUAAAUGUGGCUCUGAAAACUUACCUGAGAGCUACUGGUGGGUUGUGAUCCAUCAGAGUCCAUUUUGAUGGACUUAGAGCUACUCCAGUGUUGUUGUGAACAAAUGCAGAAGUACGUUUCUCAACUAUUCUACAUAGUUACUCAUGGUACACUUAGCAAAACUUAUGUAAUAAAACAUGAUUGCAAAGACAUUCAGCCGUCACUGUGCAGAAUGUAGCCUUGGCUUUGGCAGCACUUGGACAUUAAUGUGAGAGCUCUCAAGCACACUCCCGGCCUCCCAAACUUUGCAAAUGGAAGAGCACAUGAAGAGGCUACUCCUGUGUAGGAGGGUGUCAUACUUUUCUGGCGUGUUAUGUGUUGGAUUUCAGAUGCAUUGCACUAAUGAGAGCGAGCACUUCGCUGCUCUGAAGGGCCUAUCCUAUAGGGCUUAGAAAUCCUUCCUGUGUAACUGCCUUUUCAGCUUGCUUGACUACUUACAAGGUCUUUAUUUUUUUCUUCCAGGGAAAAGAGGGAGGAGGGGACUUUUCCCUAGACCCCUUGUUCUCUCUGUUUUGCUUUGAAUGUUGCGGUGUGUUUUGUUCCCUCCAAACGUGCUCGGAUAACCCAAAAGAAAGAGAAGUCCUUUUUUUUUUUUUUCAUCCCUUUUCCCUGAGGAGACAGAGAGAGAAAGGGGGCGGAGGCUGGAAGAAAGAUUAAGAUGUAAGCUGGCUAGAUAAGCCUGGAACUGGGUUUAUUACUACUGCUGAAUGAGAGUACAAGGAUAUAAAAGCAAACCUGCUUUACUGGAGCUGGAGCGAGGUUGGUGGGAGACCUACACUGAUUGUGUGCCACUCCGAGAAGGGAUGUUUCAUUAAUUACAUAUUAACUAUGUGCACUGAGGAGGAGGCAGAGGAUAAAAAAUGCAGAUGUUUCUGCUGCCCAACAGAAUGAAAACCACUCUUGAUCCUGUCAAAAGAACAUUUUGAAUCAAAGGGCUCCACAGAAGUGGAAGAAUGAGUUUUGUGGCUGAGUGCAAUGGUGCGGCCUUUUAAUCAUUAAACCCUUUUAUAGCGGUAAAAUGAACAUCCAUUGUCAUGGCCACUCCAAUGGGGCCAUCGGAGCUGGUGAAAAGGGAAUGCUUUACGAAGGGCACUAAAACAGGACACAACCAGCCCUGCUGCUGGAUUUCUAAAGGUAACAACAGCAGUGCAUGACAAAGAAUGAAAAGACAGCCCAGGUUGGUUUGCUUAAAUUACUUUCCUCCCCAAGCCCUCCUUACAAGCUAAACAUGCACCAGAUAUAAUGAGCAUUAGGACUUCACAGGCUGGCAGUUUCCCUCCUUUGUUUCCUCAGAGUUUUACUGUCUUGGUUUAAUUUUAUCUGUUCUUUAAGUGAAGGCUCCUUAGGAAAAUGGAUUGAAAUGUUGUUUUAUUCUUAAUCACUCUCUACAGUUGUAGUAAAGCCAUUAGCAUUGUGAGAAGAAUGGUCUUCUCUUCUUGCAGCCACACCACCCCUAACUCCCCAAGUAUGCAGGGACAGCAACACUUUAAGACUGUUUUUCAAAUUAAACCUCUCCAACCCAUUUUUAGAAAGCAGACUUAAUUUUAAUUUGCCAGGCCAUGACCCUGGAGUUUUAGGCAUAUCCCUUCCUUGCUUCUUUCUUUUCCUUCCCUUUAAUUUCUCAGUAGAAAAGAUUCAAUAAACUAUUUCUCACAUCAGUCUAGGAAGAAUUGGAAGAUUUAUUUCCCAAAGUUCAUAUAAGCCUUGGAAAACCAUAUUGUCAGGUUUUUUGGAGCAGAACUUGUCAGAGAAAAGUAACCUCAUUUCAUGGGGAGUUUCACAUCUAGGUUUUGUUCCAAUAGGAAACAAAAGGGAAUAAAAUCCCAGCUCCUAGGUAAUCCAUCUGACGGACACCCUGGUACCAUGGAUCUCAACAUUCUGGACUGUGAAAGAAGUCAGAAGAAGAUGAGAGCUAAAGAUAGCAAGGCUUUCUGGCUCUCAGCCAGUCAUUCAAAUGAGCUGCUGAGCACUUUGAGAGCUCUGGAUUUGGAAGAAACAGGCGAUCAACUAGUCAGAGACCUUUUUACCAUCAGCAAUUUUCUGAAUUUGGAUCCUGAACUCUGAACAAACUCUGAAAAAAUGUCAAUGCAGCUGAAUCAGCAGAAUAGGAUGAAAAAUAUUUUGAUGGACUAUUUUAGACCAAUUAUUUACAAAUAAUUUCUGGGAUAGAACUAAUGUUGAGAGUUUUAUAGUUUCUGUGUCAUUUGGAAUGCAAAUGUAUUUCAAAAAGUGUAUCAAUCCUUAUAUCAAAUAUAAAAAUAACAAGAUUUCUCAGGAGCCCUGGAGGCUAUUUGUGUACUAACUGUACUGUUUAGCUAUGAACACUACUUAUUUUUACUUAAGGGAGGAAGGGAAAAGAACUAUUCUUAUGAUUCUUGAUUAUUGUGGAUAAUAUAAUCUGAGCCAUGUGCUUCUGAUGUAAAGGGCAGAAGCCUGGAGAAAGCAAUAAGGAAGGUCCAUAUGAAGAUAAGAGCUUUAUGGCUCAUCAUCUGUGAGCUUUGAUGGGAUCGUUCCCUGGGAAUAUUGCUGCAGGAAUUGUCAGCAUACUUCAGCUGAAGCCAGCUCUUCAAAGCUCCAGAGGGCCCUAAAGUGGCCAGAAAAUUGCUCCUUUGCAGGUUUGUCUUAUCCUUUCUAUUAACUAAAAAAUUUCUCAAAGCCACAUUUUGAUUUUUUGGAGGGACCCAAAUGGUGGUCCUUAGGUUUUUAGUUAACCCUGGAAGAGGCUGUACAACUGGAUCAGUGCUUUACAAGAGGGAAAAUGUGAACUCCUGCAUAAGGAAGUAGUAAAUAAACAACUUAGAACAGAAGUAGCAAAGAAAGCAAGUGCUAUAAAAAUGCUUCUUCCCUGGCAGCAAUCCAAAGGGACUGACAGACAAUUCUGGGUGCAGCUCUGAGGAGCAGUGAGAAUUUGGUUGAAAACAGGCCAUUACAGCAGGCUGGCCAGGAUGGCAGAGCAAUAACUGAGCUGCUGGGAUGAGUGACCUGCAGGAAGCAUUUGAAAGAGCUAUUCAGAGACUUUCUUUUAAAUUGCAGGUAACUCAAAUGUGCAAAAGAGCAUUCUCUGUGCCCUAGUGUGUUUGGCUAAUUAUACAGUUCAGGGAAGGGCUUGGACAGCUGAGGUCACUGAUAAAAACUGAUUUAGGAUCAAACAUGGCGUGAGAUGAUGAGACACAAGAAGAUGAUGCCCAGCCAAGUUUCUAUUCAACAGAAUAAAGGCACAUCUGGGCAACUUCCACACUUCCACUACCUACAAACUAAGCAUGCUACAGUGGAGUGAGCAUAACAAACUCCAGCCUCUGACAUGGGCUUCAUAAGGACAGAGUGUUAAGCAGCAACAGCUCAGGUUAUGUACCCCAAAAUUAUGCACUGAUGCUGACUUAGAUCAUGCUUAUAAAAUUACAUAUCAGUUUAAAGUAGUUCUAGCUUUUCUUGGUUUCUCAUGGUAAAAUCAGAGUGUUGCAAUUGUUAGCUUUCUGUUUUGUCUUCUCUGUGCUUUUAACUGCGUUUUCAGUCUGUAAAAAUAAAAAAUGGCAGUUUCCUAUUAUUUUAACAUUACUGGUUCCUUGCUGCGGAAAUUUCUGGAGUGUAUCAAGAUGCAAAUAGAGCUAACUCAAGCAUGAUCCAGAUUAAAUGAAUUCAGACCUGUUAGUCUGUGAUCUGCAAAGAGGAAGGAUGCUUUCCCUACCCUGGCUGAGCUAAUAUUCUUGCCUUUGCUAGCUUCCUGCAUCUACUACUAAACAGCAAUGCACCAGUUCUUUGUUUUGGCUGUGGUCCACCUACCAAGCGGACCAGAACUUUCAGUCUCAUUCAUCCUGACAUCUCCUUGGUCAGAUGGAGCAAACACCCACUGUAUGUGCUUGAUUCAGACAGGUGGAUUUCCUUGACUGGAGAUGAAAACAAAUAAUGCGUCUCUGUAAAACUGCUACCGACACCAAAAUAAGAGGCUUCUUAUGGCAAGUCAUGUCAGUCUGUGAUCCUCCUUCUCCUUUUUUCUACAAACAAAAUUGUUAACAGUGUUGACAUGUCAGUCCUGCUCUGUAGGCACCUGAGUUAGAUGCAGGUACUCAGAUGUUCCCUGCUGCUCUGAACUCGGCCUGAGCUCCGCUCCGGCAGAGCUGGGGAUGCCCUAGACAGUGAGCGGGAGUCUGAGGAGCUGGACCAGCCUCUGCAGCGAUGCUCUGCAUCCUCAUCCAGUCCAAGGUCUGCAGGGGAGCAAACACCAUUUAUUAAAACUCAGAAGGGAGGAGAUAAGAAUUUACUGGAAGAGUUAAACAGAUUACAUAGAUAUUACAACAUAAUAUUUUUAAAAAUUCGUUUCCUAAAUUUAUAUUCAGCUGUAUUCUCAGCUCCCUGUUCAAGCUAGCCCUGGAUUUAGCUACUACAUAUCUAGCAAUGUUACUUUUUUCUGACAAGGAAUAUGGGUAAAUCUUUUCACACUGUUUGGGUUGGUUCUUGUUGAAAUAACAAGUACAUAAAGAUGUUUAUUUGUUAAUUUUCUUUUUCAGUUUGCAAUUGCUCUAUAUCAAAAUGCAGUACCCUGACACCGACUGAAGAUGUGUGAGCUGCCUGAAUUUGUGAGGGAUGAAGCAUCUAAAAUUUUUCUAGUUUAUACAAAAAUAAACUGGCUCCCCCUUGAUUCUAGACUGUACAUUCCAACAUGUUCAUAAAAGUGAAAUUGAUCUGCAGGUCUGAACUAAGUAGAUAGAAGUAAAUAAAGCAGAAGUAAAGAAAACAAGGCAAA